rnacentral:rRNA from 1 species
UGGCUCAGGACGAACGCUGGCGGCGUGCCUAAUACAUGCAAGUCGAACGGUCUUUCUAUGGAAGCUUGCUUCCACUGAGAAGAUAGUGGCGAACGGGUGAGUAACACGUGGGUAACCUGCCCAUAAGAGGGGGAUAACAUCCGGAAACGGGUGCUAAUACCGCAUAGUUUUCUUGAUCGCAUGAUCGGGAAAGGAAAGACGGCCUUUGUGCUGUCGCUUAUGGAUGGACCCGCGGCGUAUUAGUUAGUUGGUGAGGUAACGGCUCACCAAGACGAUGAUACGUAGCCGACCUGAGAGGGUGAUCGGCCACAUUGGGACUGAGACACGGCCCAAACUCCUACGGGAGGCAGCAGUAGGGAAUCUUCCGCAAUGGACGAAAGUCUGACGGAGCAACGCCGCGUGAGUGAAGAAAGGUUUUCGGAUCGUAAAACUCUGUUGUCAGAGAAGAACAAGUUGGAGAGUAACUGCUCCAGCCUUGACGGUAUCUGACCAGAAAGCCACGGCUAACUACGUGCCAGCAGCCGC